GGGGCAGCAGGCGCGAAAACUUUACAAUGCUGGAAACAGCGAUAAGGGGACCUCGAGUGCCAGGUUACAAAUCUGGCUGUCGUGAUGCCUAAAAAGCAUUGCAUAGCAAGGGCCGGGCAAGACCGGUGCCAGCCGCCGCGGUAACACCGGCGGCUCGAGUGGCAACCGUUAUUAUUGGGUCUAAAGGGUCUGUAGCCGGCCGGAUAAGUCUCUUGGGAAAUCCAGCAGCUCAACUGUUGGGCUUUCAGGAGAUACUGUCUGGCUCGAGGCCGGGAGAGGUGAGAGGUACUUCAGGGGUAGGGGUGAAAUCUUGUAAUCCUUGAAGGACCACCAGUGGCGAAGGCGUCUCACCAGAACGGACCUGACGGCAAGGGACGAAAGCUAGGGGCACGAACCGGAUUAGAUACCCGGGUAGUCCUAGCCGUAAACGAUACUCGCUAGGUGUCGGCCGCGGUGCGACCGUUGUCGGUGCCGUAGGGAAGCCGUGAAGCGAGCCACCUGGGAAGUACGGCCGCAAGGCUGAAACUUAAAGGAAUUGGCGGGGGAGCAC
rnacentral:rRNA from 1 species